rnacentral:lncRNA from 1 species
UCUUGAAUUCUCUUUCAUGUCAUUAUUUUUGUUUUUUGAAUUUUCUUCUUCUACCACAAUAGCAUGAUGUUUCAUCUCCAUCUCAACCAACUUCUUCUCACACUCAUUUGCUUUCUCCAUGAGAUUAUCACAUUGCACUUCGAAUCUAUCAAAGGGAACUUGAUUGGACCUCCAUAAUUCAUCCAGAAUACUUUCGAGUUGUGAAUUGUAAUUAAUCAGGAUCACUUGUGGCUCUUCAUCUUUACUACAAGGUUUUUUAUUAUAUUCGCAAUCAUGAUUU